AGCACGUCAACAACAUCCUCUGUGGUCUUUACUCCAUGUGCGUUCACGUGAGCCUCCUCGUCGCCCUCCUUCUAAGGACUCUUGUCAUCUUAGAUGAGAGUCUGCGGUGCUCAAUUUAUCAACCUGACAAGAUCUAGAACCAUCUAGGAGGCAAACCUUUGAGCGUGUCUGUGAGGCACUUUCGAGACCUUUUAAUUGAAGUGGAAGACACUCCUCCAAAAGGUACAAAUGCCUUCACUUGAUUAAUACCCACCGGUGACCUGGGAAUGUUGGGAUGCAAACACCGUACAUGCUGCAUCAGUUGAUAGAGGUGACGUGGAAGCCGGAGAAUCCAUCCAAGCCAGGCCUAGUCUUGCAUCUCUCUUCAUCGGCCCCUGGCUUCCCCAGCUGGAUGUGUUGAAGUUCUCAACUGUCUCCCUCUCCAGCCUAGGACAGCCCAAGUGAUGGUAGGCAAGGAGCCUACCAUGGGAAGAUUUGGCCCCCCAGGUGCUGCUCUGAGCACCUAGGCAAUCCUUAGUGGUGAUGUUUGGCUAGACUGAGGUUUUCCUCCUGCCUGUUUUUUUUUCCCCAAGGCCUUUCCACUCUCCAUUUAUUUCUCCAGUGGAUUUGGGCCUCUCCUCUGAACCCCAGAUGAUUAAUAUGGCCACAAUCCCGGCCCUACUCUUGCUGCCUCGAGGCCCCCAGAGAGGACACUGACCCUGAGACAAUCAAGACUUAACUCUCACUUUGAGGGCAGGCCCACUUUAUCACGUGCCUCUGAUAACCAAGCAAGCACGUGCGAGCCAUUCUUAACCCACACUGAAGGGACAAAGACUACAUUGUGUUUGAAGUCCUUGAAGACACGAGGGUCAAAUAUGCAGGAUCCUUGAUGAGAAUACAGAUGCAGGUGUGGGGCAUAGCGUGGUGAUGUGUCUAAUCUACAUAAUUUCCUCUAUUUCUGUCAGUAGGUAAUAACUGAAGCUUAUGAAUAAAGAAUGUUCUGGAGGUUUCGAGAGGA